rnacentral:rRNA from 1 species
CCCUUAGAUGUUCUGGGCCGCACGCGCGCUACACUGAUGCAUUCAACGAGCCUAUCCUUGACCGACAGGUCCGGGUAAUCUUUGAAUCUGCAUCGUGACGGGGAUAGAUUAUUGCAAUUAUUAAUCUUCAACGAGGAAUGCCUAGUAGGCGCAAGUCAUCAGCUUGCGUCGAUUACGUCCCUGCCCUUUGUGCACACCGCCCGUCGCUCCUACCGAUUGGGUGUGCUGGUGAAAUGUUCGGAUCGGCCGUUUGUCGCGGUUUCCGCGUCAUGUGGCUGAGAAGUUCAUUAAACCCUCCCACCUAGAGGAAGGAGAAGUCGUAACA